UACAGAGGUCUCAAGCGUUGUUCGGAUUCAUUGGGCGUAAAGGGUGCGUAGGCGGCGCGGUAAGUCGGGUGUGAAAUCUUGGAGCUUAACUCCGAAACUGCAUUCGAUACUGCCGUGCUUGAGGACUGGAGAGGAGACUGGAAUUUACGGUGUAGCGGUGAAAUGCGCAGAUAUCGGGAGGAACACCAGUAGCGAAGGCGGCACUCUGGGCCGGUACUGACGCUGAGGAGCGAAAGCGUGGGGAGCAAACAGG
rnacentral:rRNA from 1 species